rnacentral:lncRNA from 1 species
UUGCUUCAAAGUUGACCACUACCUUGGGCACCUAAGAUAAAAAUGGCUGCUUUGAUGACGAACUGUACAACCUCUGGAUGGUUUUGAAGUUCAACUGGUCUUUGUCUGAAUUUGUUCAGUUGUAGGUCAGAAUUGAAGCUCAUUCUUUAUGUUAGACUAACUUGACCCUUCUUUCAGAUUGUAGAAAAGAUACGCAUUCAGAUGGAUGCCUUCCUUGAAGAUGGAUCUCAUGAAGCAACAAUUGCUGUUGUCCGUGCAUUGGCGCUUGCUGUACCACAUACGACAGAGAAAUUGCAAGACUAUAUCCCUCAUUAUUUUACUGUCAAUUCAUCGCGUUACUUUAUCUGGCCUUUAGGAUUCAUGAUAGAUAAUGACAUGUGCUUAUCUGAAUAGGCAUAAUUUUUUGUACACUUGACAUAGAAAGAAAAAGAUUUGGGGUCAUACCUAUGCCAGUACUACUUGGGCUGUUUUUUUUUUAUUUCAUUGCGUGUAUAUUGACACGGGGAGUAUGCAGGCAUGCUUGUCUUCAGUGUCUAUGCACUUUUUUCCUUUCAUUCUUUGUUUCUUUGACGUAUGACACAUCUCUUGUCGAAGAUAUUCCAGCUUACAAAUUCGCCAGUCCAGGGAAAUCUUUUGACGCAUCGGUGUGAGAGAGCAAACGCAUUUUGUGAGUCACUUCGUGCUCUGGAUGCUACAGGUUAGUUAUGAACAUUAACCCAAUCUUUUAUAUAAACCCAAUCAUGUCUUAUUACAGUUGCGAGAGAUUAUUCAAAUUAGGCAUUUUAUAUGUUUGUGUUUGUUCUAUAGCCGCUAUUCUGUCAUAUGGUGGAAUACAUGGAUUGCUAACAUUAAUAUAUGGGUGCGGCCCUGAUAUUCAGGAAAUUGUCAACGAAGGCAUUUUUCAUCCUUCUCACUUUGAGCGUUUUCAGUUCGAAAAUCUUUAUGCGGGAUGAGGAAGCAAAAGGGGACGAAGGAAAGGAAGAGGAAUAAAUAAAAAAUUGAACAGAGUAGGACAUAACUUUCAAGGAAUGUUUUUUUUCUCCAGGGCACAAAUUCUGCUCUUUUUCCGCUUUUUCUGUGUUUGAAAAACUUUAUUUCA